UGAAAUUGGAAUUUGUUAGAGAAGCAACACCAAAAUCCAACAUAAACCCUGUGGUAGUCUAAUCUUCUGACUCGCAACAGCCUUUCCUGCACUACCCAUUCCUAGCACAUGAUUCUCCUGAAAACUACCAUCUACACUUGCCAAGUUGCUCUGAAAGACUCCAGGAACCUUUCUCAAGCCCACAGUAGGGAAGACAUCUGCCUUGCUCCUUCUUUCAUCUACUACUUCUGCAGAUCUUUUGCUCCAGGAUUAUAAGAUUGAGUCUUGAAGAAUGGGAGAGUCUCUGAGAACUACAUCCCAGAGACUACAUUCUACUACAUCCCUUAUCAGUCAUUUUGGGAACUAACAUAAACUGCCAUUGAGUUCAUCUGCAUUUGCAUAUUUGCAUUUGCAUAUGCUCAGAACUUCACCAGAGCAGACCUACAUAAAAAUAAAAAACAUACAAAAUACUAGGUGUACACAAAUGUACUCACUUUAUCAAAUUCACCACUGUAAAUUUUCAGGUAAAGAAGUGGAGAUACUAUUCUUUUUAGUUUUUCUAUUGCAGAAAACAUGUAAGAUUGAAGACUGUAACUUAACUGAUGCCAGGGGUAGGGAAAAAGAGGAAGUAGAAGAAUAAUGUACCAAUAAAAGCUUGACAGUUCUCUGUUUUUUGCCAAUUGUUGAUAAAAUGACAGACGGUAAUGUUUAUGAAAUGUAUAAUUCAAAGCAAAUUUGCCUAGAUAACCAAGUUAAAGAUGCUUUAUCUUUCCUAACAAACAUGAUGCAGAAAUCAGCAAAACCCGAAGUACAUAAUACAAACUGAAAAUGCAAGAAAACAAAUCUUUUCACCUAAGUCAACAUAUUUUCUGAGCACAAAUAAAAUACUUGGCUUUCUUUCAAAAUCUUCACAGCUAAUCAAUAGUUUAGUCAUACGAUGAAAAAUGAUGUAUCUAUAUUCUUCACAAUUGACAUUUCCUAACUGUCUCCAAGGUCGCAUUGAUUGCCAGUUGUUCAGUUUACCCAACUUCUGUUUUGAGCCAAAUAAUAUGAUCUUUGUUUCAUUAAUAUUUAAUAGUAAUUUAGAUUGUGCCAGAUGAUCUUAAAGCUCAUUUAAAUCAGCUUGAAGAUAAUAUUAAGCUUUCUUCUAGUAUAAUCUAUUAUCAUAAAUGAUUGUGUCAUCUGCAUAUAAAUGGUGAGUUGAAUAUGAUAAUGAAGUGCAAAGAUUAUCAAUAUAGAACAACAAAUGCAUCUGACUUAAAAUAAAUCCUUCAGGGACCCAUUUACUCUGUUUUCAGUGGUAAAUGAUGCAUCGUUUCACUUCAAGUAUUCUACAGAACACAUAAAAGAUUUGGAUCAUGAGAUAUAAUAUUUAUCCUGUGUGGGGAAAAAAACAGAAAAUAAAGAUUCCGCAUUGUAGAACUCUUUUCAAGUGUGGUAAUUACAGUUCAUAUAGAUCCAUUAUACUUUUAGCAUGACAGACCUUGAUUAAUUAUUAGUGUUUUUUACAGCAAAGACUGUGUUUUUAUUA